UACAGAGGGGGCAAGCGUUGUUCGGAAUCACUGGGCGUAAAGCGCGCGUAGGCGGUCUUGUAUGUCGAUUGUGAAAGCCCCGGGCUCAACCUGGGAACAGCAGUCGAAACUGCAUGACUUGAAUGUUGGAGAGGGUGGGGAAAUACCUAGUGGAGAAGUGAAAUUCGUAGAGAUUAGGUGGAACACCAGAGGCGAAGGCGCCUGCCUGGCCAAACAUUGACGCUGAGGCGCGAAAGCGUGGGGAGCAAACAGG
rnacentral:rRNA from 1 species